rnacentral:rRNA from 1 species
UACGUAGGGCGCAAGCGUUGUCCGGAAUUAUUGGGCGUAAAGAGCUCGUAGGCGGCUUGUCACGUCUGCUGUGAAAACCCGAGGCUCAACCUCGGGCCUGCAGUGGGUACGGGCAGACUAGAGUGCGGUAGGGGAGAUUGGAAUUCCUGGUGUAGCGGUGGAAUGCGCAGAUAUCAGGAGGAACACCAAUGGCGAAGGCAGAUCUCUGGGCCGUAACUGACGCUGAGGAGCGAAAGCAUGGGGAGCGAACAGG